AAAUGCAAGGUACCGCUAAAAGCUAAAAUUUUCAUGUGGUAUCUUCGAAUGUGAGUUGUGUUGACAAAAGAUAACCUCGCUCGGCGCAACUGUCAUGGGAGUAAGAAGUCUUGUUUUUGUACUCAUGUCAAGACGUUAAAACACCUCUUCUUCCAAUGCAAGUUUGUGCGUUCUAUUUGGUCAGUCAUCCCAAUAACGUCCAAUUUGUAA
rnacentral:rRNA from 1 species